rnacentral:lncRNA from 1 species
AGCCACCGGUCGGGCCCCCAAGACCGGCUGACGUGGGCCUCGCCUCGGGCGACUCCCGCCGGGCUAGUGGCUGGCCGUGUGGUGACCUUGGGCGAGUUACUUCGCACAGCCACCCAGGGGCCUCUUCUCCAACACGAUAGCACUGCACCCGGAGGAUAAAGAACCACUGAGGAUAUGAGUUAUUCUUCCUACAGUUGUACAGCUUGUGAACAGUAGAGCUGGGGUCCGAGCCAGGUCUCUGACUCUGCAGCCUACCCUUGUCCUGCUUGAACACACUGAGGAAGACAGGAAUAACAGGACAUGGGUCAGAAGGCUUGGCUUCUGCUCCAGCUUUGAAGUUGAAGGAUUAGGUGACAGCUAACACUUGAUAGUAUUUUAUGGUUUCAAAGUGAUAACCAUGUAAUAUUUUAAUUGAUUCUCAGCCCAUUUUGUAGAUGAGGAAACUGAGGCUCACAGAUCUGAUGACUUCCUAAUUGUGGCAAACUACCAGCUACACAGUAGCUGGGCUGGCUUCGAACCAGGUCUUUUGACCCCAGAGUCUGUGCAGCUCACAAAUAAAGCUGAUUCUUUGACAAGUUAAGCCUCUUCUCUUGGAUUCAUUUUUCCAGUCUGUGAAAAUGAGGGAUUGGAUUAGAUUAGUAGGCAAUCACUAGUUCCCAGGCCCUUUUAUUUAAAGAAAAAAAGGAGAACCCAUAGAGUCUGGCAACUUAAACUUUUGCUAAGUAUGAACAC